UACGUAGGGUGCGAGCGUUGUCCGGAAUUAUUGGGCGUGAAGAGCUCGUAGGCGGCUUGUCGCGUCGGAUGUGAAAGCCCGGGGCUUAACUCCGGGUCUGCAUUCGAUACGGGCAGGCUAGAGUUCGGUAGGGGAGAUCGGAAUUCCUGGUGUAGCGGUGAAAUGCGCAGAUAUCAGGAGGAACACCGGUGGCGAAGGCGGAUCUCUGGGCCGAUACUGACGCUGAGGAGCGAAAGCGUGGGGAGCGAACAGG
rnacentral:rRNA from 1 species